AUCCACUAGAUCGCCGGCUCCAAGAUCUGAGCGGCCUCAAACAGAUUCCAAAUCCGCAGGCAGAGUUCUCUGAGACUUCGGGUGUUUGGAAGGAUUCUGGAGAUCACUGGCAGAUCCCGGAUAUCUCAGCCCCGCAGGCCUGCCUGGGGGCUGGAAACUCUCCCUGGGAGCCCAGCUUGGCUGCUGGCCUCCUUCUGCGAGUAAGUGCUUCUCUCUCUCUUCACCUGGGACCCUUAGAGGGCGGAGGAGAAGAGAGGCUGAGAGCAAAGGGAAAGCCCAACUGCCUUUGGUGCCCUUGGGGAAGAAGGGGGGAAAGACGGCGGGUGAGGGGCUUCCUGCCGCAGCCUUCAGCGGGACUCUGAGGGUUGGGGGGGGGUCACUGGAGAAGGAGGUGGCUUCCUGCCCCAUUGUUCAGGACUUCAUUGUUUCUCAGGAAUACUUAUUGUAUGAGAAUUUUCAAUAAUUAACUUGGAAAGCUGCACGUGUUCCCAUCAUUCGGCCAACACUGAGCACCUACUGAGUACAGAGGGGGCAGCAGAGCCCCUCAUCACGGAAAGGGGCCAGAAGAACCACUGGGCCAGGGUCUCCAAGUUAGGCUUUUGACAUUAUCUCCGAAUGGGGUUAUACGUUAUGUCAGAUCCACUGACCAAUUUGAUCAAAGACCCUCUUUCUGUGCCCUUAAGCUUGUUUCUUAUUAACAAAGACUACUAUGCCUGUGGAGCACCCUACAUUAUUAUAUUUUAAUAAAUCCUUUAAUCAUCUUGUGAGCAGCACAAUUAUGGUGUGAUUUUUUUUGUAUUAGAAGCCAUUAAUGUAUUAAACGUGGAAAAAUA